CAGAGAGUAGUUUAUAUAAAAUUUUAAUUUUGGAGAUUAAAGAAGGGAGAGAACUUUCUUCUCUGA
rnacentral:tRNA from 2 species